UUCCAGCACGGUUUCUGGACUUGUGCACGGGUGGGGGUUGCCGGUAGUCCUUCUAUUUAGAGUCAGGACAGAAAGCUCUUCUGUGGCCCAGAAAUCUUUGAAACUGUAUUUGGAUCUCUCCCAGCUGGUGGCCACUGUGAAUUGUAAUUUGAAAGGAAUCAACCAGAAGCACUUUCUUUCCGUUGCUAGCUGGGGAACUACCCCAGGACCUGCGCAUUAUUCUCUGGAGAGCCCGAGUGGGGUUGCGAUGUUAUGCAAAUCGAGGCUCCACAGUAACUUCGAUGAACAUUAGACCUGGUAGUAAUGGCAGCCGCGGACCACCGCGGAGAAUCAGUGUAGCUGUAAUGAGGGCGAGUUGAGAUACAGCUACUGUUGCAUGCCAUUACAAAUUCAAGAUCCCGAGAAAUGCAGAGGCUGUGAGCUGAAGCAGGAACGGAUCAAUAACCAGGUCUUUCUUUCUG
rnacentral:lncRNA from 1 species